UCCGUAGGCGGUUUAAUAAGUCAGUGGUGAAAGCCCAUCGCUCAACGGUGGAACGGCCAUUGAUACUGUUAGACUUGAAUUAUUAGGAAGUAACUAGAAUAUGUAGUGUGGCGGUGAAAUGCUUAGAGAUUACAUGGAAUACCAAUUGCGAAGGCAGGUUACUACUAAUGGAUUGACGCUGAUGGACGAAAGCGUGGGUAGCGAGCA
rnacentral:rRNA from 1 species